AAGGACAAAUGGAUAAACUAAUGGGUGAUCAAGAAGACUCGUAGCCUAGGUUUGUGAUCUCCAUUGCACUUUGGAGGGGUGGCCGUUUAAGGUCGAUUCAAGUGGUCAAAGCCUAUGUCAUAAUUUGUGGUAGUGAGGGCCUGCGUUCGAGCAACCUCUAC